rnacentral:rRNA from 1 species
UCGCGAAAACUUGUCAAUGGGGGAAACCCCGAACAGGGGAGUCCAAGUGCAUGCGUUUUACGUAUGCUGUUCAGUUGUCUAAAACACAGCCGAAGUAAGGGCUGGGUAAGACAGGUGCCAGCCGCCGCGGUAAUACCUGCAGCCCAAGUGGUAAUCGUUAUUAUUGAGCCUAAAGCGUCCGUAGCCGGUUUGGUAAACCCUCGGGUAAAUCGAGCAGCUCAACUGUUCGAAUUCCGGGGGGACUGCCAGACUUGGGACCGGGAGAGGUCGGAGGUACUUCAGGGGUAGGGGCUAAAUCCUGUAAUCCUUGAAGGACCACCAGUGGCGAAGGCGUCCGACCAGAACGGAUCCGACGGUAAGGGACGAAACCCUGGGGCGCAAACCGGAUUAGAUACCCGGGUAGUCCAGGGCGUAAACGCUGCAGGCUUGGUGUUGGGGAUCCUACGAGGAUGCUCAGUGCCGGAGUGAAGAUGUUAAGCCUGCCGCUUGGGGAGUACGUCCGCAAGGAUGAAACUUAAAGGAAUUGGCGGGAGAGCACAGCAACGGG